rnacentral:rRNA from 1 species
UACGUAGGGGGCGAGCGUUGUCCGGAUUUAUUGGGCGUAAAGAGCGCGUAGGCGGCCCGGAAAGUCGGAUGUGAAAACCCGGGGCUCAACCCCGGGCCUGCAUCCGAUACUUCUGGGCUGGAGGCAGGUAGGGGAGAUCGGAAUUCCUGGUGUAGCGGUGAAAUGCGCAGAUAUCAGGAGGAACACCGGUGGCGAAGGCGGAUCUCUGGGCCUGUCCUGACGCUGAGGCGCGAAAGCUAGGGGAGCGAACAGG